ACCAGGAUUUUUCUCGUAACUCCGAUCACAACAAACUGGUAUUGUUAUUUAUUACAAUACUUCAAAAUUUCACAAUACUAUAACAACUAAUCCCAUAUUACAUGCAUCCUCUCCUCGCUUGUGAUGCAAGCUGCACAACUAUGGUAAGUGCUAAGUGAAAAGUGUUUCUCAUUUCUUAUUUUCAGCGUCUUACUGGAGUUACGAGAAAAAUCCUGGUGUGUCAAAUGGAAAGUUUGGAUCCAACUCCAGUGACUGAAGAGAGAAUUCUGGCUCCACAACUGGAGAAUUGGCAGCGGAAGUAUUGGCGGAAAUUAUCUCAGUGAAAUUGGAUUCAGAACAGUACUGCAAAUUUUGAACCCCUACAAAAUUGUUCGUCUGGAAUGGUGAAACAGAGCAGUAGUUUGAUUCAGGGGUGGCUGGAGAUAUAGAAGAUUGAGAACAAGUGCCUGAAGUUUUCAUGCUUCCAUAUGCAGGAGGAAAAGAGAAAGGAAAUGCCAUCUCUUUAUUGUCCAAGUCCUCAGUAUUAACCUUCAGGACCUUUUGAAAGUUAAAGAGAGCAUCUUGUGAUUGCUGCUGUUGAUUAAUGUUUUGUUUCUGUUCUUGUUUUUCUGGUGAUGCUGGUGGUGCAACUGAUUGUCGGCCAUGACAACAAGUGUGUAGUCCCCGGUAAGUGACAUCAAAUAUGGUGUGAUCAUCAUCUGAUCUUUGCACUUGCUUUGUAGCCCAGCAGUUCUGGGUAUUUCUGUAGGUGCAUCUGUAAUAGCUUCUGGGAUAUUUGGCUCCAAGAAUAUCUUUCUGCCCAUACUUUCUCCAGCUAUACCCAUCGUCAUGGGGUCCUUCCAGGCCAUUCUCAGAA
rnacentral:misc_RNA from 1 species